AAAACAUAGGACGUUUGAGCGCCAAAGUAGAACCCAUUUGAGCGCCAGAAUUUUAACCCAUUUUAGCGAAAAUUAAAAUUGUCAAAGCCCAUUUUUGCGAAAUAUUUUAAACCCUUAUUAGUAAAUACAUAAUAUAUAAUAAAUUUUAAAAAGUUUAAUAGACUCAAGACAUGUCCAUUAAAAUACAGCACUAAUAGACUCAAGACAGCACAACACAAAACAAUAUAUAAGUUUUCAAUUAAAAUACAGAACGAAAAGUCUAAUAGGUUAAAUCAAAUGUUAAAAGUCUGUUCUAGCCUGGAAUUUAUAAGCUAGAGAACGUACGUAAUUGGCUCUAGAUAUACCCCC
rnacentral:lncRNA from 1 species